rnacentral:rRNA from 1 species
AGCGAACGUUUGCGGCGGGCUUAACACAUGCAAGUCGAACGAGAACCAUUCCUUCGGGGAUGGGGACAGUGGCGCACGGGUGCGUAACACGUGGGUAACCAACCCCCUAGACUGGGACAACCCGAGGAAACUCGGGCUAAUACCGGAUGUGCCGUUUGGAUCUUCGGGUCUGAUCGGGAAGGGAGCAAUCUGCUAGGGGACGGGCUCGCGGCCCAUCAGCUUGUUGGCGAGGUAAUGGCUCACCAAGGCUAAGACGGGUAGCUGGUCUGAGAGGAUGAUCAGCCACACUGGAACUGAGACACGGUCCAG